rnacentral:rRNA from 1 species
UGGGGAAUAUUGCACAAUGGGCGGAAGCCUGAUGCAGCGACGCCGCGUGAGGGAUGACGGCCUUCGGGUUGUAAACCUCUUUCACCAGGGACGAAGCGUGAGUGACGGUACCUGGAGAAGAAGCACCGGCCAACUACGUGCCAGCAGCCGCGGUAAUACGUAGGGUGCGAGCGUUGUCCGGAUUUACUGGGCGUAAAGAGCUCGUAGGCGGUUUGUCGCGUCGUCUGUGAAAUCCCACGACUCAAUCGUGGGCGUGCAGGCGAUACGGGCAUAACUUGAGUACUGUAGGGGAGACUGGAAUUCCUGGUGUAGCGGUGGAAUGCGCAGAUAUCAGGAGGAACACCGGUGGCGAAGGCGGGUCUCUGGGCAGUAACUGACGCUGAGGAGCGAAAGCGUGGGUAUCGAACA